GCCACGGUCGCGUAAUCUGGUAUCGCGCCGGUCUCGAAAACCGGUUUCCUUUGGAUAUGUGGGUUCAAAUCCUACCUGUGGCG
rnacentral:tRNA from 1 species